CCAAAGGAAAGAAGGCCAAGGGGGAAGAAGGUUGCUCCAGCCCCUCGUGUCAUCAAGAAACAAGAGGCCAAAAAAGUAGUCAAACCUUUUUUUUUUUUUUUUUUUUUUUUUUUUUUUAAUAAAAGGCCCAAGAUCUUCACCAUUGGACAGGACAUCCAGCACAAAAGAGAUCUCACAUGCUUCGUCAAAUGGCUCCACAACAUCAGGCUGCAGCGGCAAAGAGCCAUCCUCUAUAAGCAGCUCAAAGUACUUCCUGUCAUUAAUCAGUUCACCUAGGUCCUGGACAGGCAAACUGCUACUCAGUUGCUUAAGCUUGCCCACAAGUACAGGCCAGAGACAAAGCAAGAGGAGAAACAAAGUCUACUGCCCCGUGCUGAGAAGAAAGCUGCUGGCAAAGGGACAUCCCAACUAAAACACCACCUGUCCUCCAAGCAGAAGUCAAUACAGUCACCACCUUGAUGGAGAACAAGAAGGCUCAGCUGAUGGUGACUGCCCAUGACAUAGACCCCAUUGAGUUUGGUGGUUUUCCUGCCUUCUCUGGGUCAAAAGAUGGUGGUGCCUUACUGCAUCAUCAAGGGAAAUGCCAGCGUGGGGUGCCUGGUCCACACGAAGACAUGCACCAUUGUUGCCUUUACACAGGUGAGCUCGGGAGACAAACGUGCUCUGGCUAAGCUGGUGGAAGCUGUUAGGACCAAUUACAAUGGCAGAUAUGAUGAGAUCCGCCUCUACUGGGGAGGCAAUGCCCUGGGUCCUAGGUCUGUGGCUUGCAUUGCCAAGCUGGAAAAAGCAAAGGCUAAAGAAUUCGCCAAUAAAACAGGUUAA
rnacentral:lncRNA from 1 species